rnacentral:tRNA from 1 species
GGGACUGUGGCUCAUCGGUAGAGCGCUCGCCUAGCACACGAGAGGCCCUGGGUUCGAUCCUCAGCACCA